rnacentral:lncRNA from 1 species
GGGCAAAAACCACUGGGGUGGAAUUGCUCUUAAAGGAGUAUGAGUGUCAUCUUCCACUACCUCCAUGCAUUCACCUUCACCUAACUAUAAAUCCAGCUUUACACUCAACACAAAAAAUAAAGAUAUAUCCACUUCAUAAGAAAGAAGUGAAAAAGAAGGUAUAUAAUUGAAUAUUAAGCAUCAUUUGAUACAGAUGAUUGGAUUGGAUUAAAUAAAUGUUUUUAUUUUAAAGCUUUGUGGUAAGAAGAAACGAAAAAUUUGUGGUAUGGAGUAGGAGAUGGAGUAGAUAAAAUCGCUCUCCUUUACUGUUAAAUACCUUAAAUUUAUAGAGUUGUCCAUUCGGAUCAAAUCCUUUAUCCAACAUGACCUAGAUCUUUUGUUAGACAUUUUAGCCAAAAUGGUAUUGAUACAACUCUUCACUUUGGUCCCCGAUAUUUGGAAUCAAUAGAUCUAUGAUUUUGUCUACCAUCAAUUAUUUUGGUCUAUGACAAAUAUGUUAAAUAAAGAUCUGUUGUAAAAUCGACGGUGUGUACAGUGGAAUAUAUAAGCAAGACACAAAAUUUAUGAGGCUCCUCUACAGUCAGUGUGACUGGAGUACGUCAUCGGGGCAGCAGUGGUGCUUUCAUUAUAAUUUGGAAUAAUAGAAGUACAAAGAUAACUCUCUAUAUUCUUUUCUCUCUUCUUCCUCUCUUUUCUCUCUUCCUCUUCCUUCCUUCUUUUCUAUUGUGAGUCUCUCACUUCUCACUCUUUCUUCCUCUGUAUAUUUUCAUUUUAUAGGAAAAGGUUACUGUAGCAACACUAUUCACUUUAAAAAAAUUUCCACAAAUGAAUAGUGAAAAUACUGUGUAUAAAUAGUAACAAACUAUUCAUGUGGGCCAUCCACAUAUUAUUCACAACAAGAUCAAAAUUAUAAAAAUAUCCUUAAUUUAAUAAACAAUGAGUCAAAAUGCUUUGACAAAAUUUGAGAGUAUUUUUGUUAUUUUGAUCUUAUUUAACGGAGAUUUUUCAUGAAAUGACCAAAAUAAUUGACAAUGAACACAUUUAAUGAUCACUUCUAUCGAUUUAAAUUUCAGAGAUUAAAAUAAGAAGUUAUAUGAAUUAUAGAAACUAUUUUAACUAACCCUUUUAUCUUAUAUGUUAUAGUGUUAAUUAUCAUCUCAUAUAAGUACAACACUUUGCAUCCAAUAAAGUUGCGAUGACAUGCAUGAAAACAGUUGCCAUAUGUCUGCAGAAAAUUUUGAAAUACUUCUCCAAUUAAUCUUCUUUACGUGUGACUCUACUUGAUUGAAGCUCGCCAUGAUCGGGACUCAGGAUAAUGUGCUUUUGAUUGGUGAAGGGUGAAGCAUCUUUUCAAUCAAAAUCCAUGUCUUCUAAUCCAACAAAAGGACAGCAGGUCUCCUAAAGUCUUCAUUUUGAGAACAUGUAAAGUUCUUUAUUAUAUGAGUCCUCAUAUUAAUUUUUCGGUAGAUUAAGUUAUUAAGUUAAACAUGGAAACAAAAUAUUAAUUGAUAAAACAGAAAAAAAAUAAAAAGUUAAGAAGAGAGAAGAAGGUUUCACGUCAUGUUGAACCUCUUUCAUCUAAAAAACCUAGUCUCUUGAUAGGAGCAUAUGUAUGCGACUUUGUUAGCUUGUUUCUUUACAUUUAGUGAGUUAGUUUCUGAUUAUUAUAGUGAUUUAAGCUAUUUUCGUGUGUUUGUAGGUCCAAUUGGCAAAGAUGACAAUAAAUGGCUAAAUGGAGCAAUUUGAAGCAGUUUUGGAUUUGGAUUGGAUACCAUGCGUGGGGAGCACUUUGGAUGGACAUUUUUGGUGUUUAAAUAAUGCUAUAAAUGUGCUACAAUUUGGAGGAAUUAAGAGUGAGGCUUGGGAGACAAGAAAUCAGAAAUUAAAGGGAAACCUUAUCCUUAACAAACCUUAUCUAAUCCUAUCCUAUCCUUAUCCAAACUUACCUUAUCUUAUCCAGUCCUGUUUUACCUCAACCUUAUCUUAUCUUAUCAUAUCAUAAUCCUACGUAAACUUAUCUCCAGCUGCAAGGGGGAUUCCUUAUCGCAUUCAACCACUUCUAAUAUGAUUUAAGGAGUCCUAAAACACUGCAAACAACUCAAUCCUUUUCCACCACAAAGUAGGUCGUGCCCUAGCCCUAUAAAUACAAGUUAUUGCCGCAGCUUUCAGGGGGAGUUGAGAGAGAAAAUUGGUGAGAGUGCCACAGGUUUUUGGAGGAGAGAAGGAGAUUUUGAGCCGUGCUUGCAAGGAGAAGAGGAGCCGAUUCUGCCAUCUAGAGGAGGAGCCGAAUCUGCCAUUGCUGGAGUGUCUCAAAGUUCUUUCUAUCCUUAUUUGAUUUCAAUGUUUAAUUUAGAUUGUUUUUAUUUAGUUAUGAUGAACAUGCGUAACUAAAUUUCUUUUUAGCUAGAGGUGAAUUCCAGCCAUGAUCAUAUGUUUUAUAUAAAUUAAUUACAUCUAGUUAUUGUUUCAUAAAUUAAUUAUAUAAAUUAAUUACAUCUACUUAUGUGUUUUAUUAAGAACUUGUUCUUGUGUGUUGAUUAAGGGUGCACACUUAGUUUGCAUGUAGGGAUUUGAUGCUAGAAUAUAAGGGAAUUUCACCUAAUCGUUAUGAACUUAUAUUUACAAGUAGUAAAAGUCACUAGUCAUGAUUGUGUUAAGUAAAUUCCUGGCAGGAGUACCACGCUGUUCAUAGUUAUGAAUGUCUUGUCAAUGCUUAUGAUUUUCACAGAAGUUAAUGAUCUUUGAUAUGUAUCUCUAUCAUGUUGUUCAUAUAGGGAACUUGAUAAGAAUAAUUUGGUUGCGUCGCUGAGUCCAAUUCAAUUAACUUAGGAAAAUCUAAGAGUUAGUUUGUGCAUUUCACAGUUAAUUCGGGGCAUUGUCAUUCAUGGUUUAUAGGAAUAAUAACUGGAAAUCGAUUUGUAUGCAUAUGUUUCAUGUGUGGAGAAGAAUCCUCUAACUAGCCUUUCACUCAAUUUUCUUCCAAAUUCACUUUGUUUUUGCAAUUUAGUUGUUUUAGUUCAAAAUUCGUCCAAAAACCCCCCUUAGUUCUUAUUUGUGUUAGUUUAUCCUAGUUUUCAGUUUUUAAGUCUAAUUUGUGUUGAUUAGCAUCCCUUCUAAUCCCUGGCCUAGAACGAUCCCUACUUGCUCAUACUACAACUGUCUAAAAAGGGUUUAAUUUGUGUGUUAGUUUUUAUCACAUCAUCUCCUCAUCGAAUAUCUAAAUUCAACAAAUCCAAAUAAAACCCUAAUAACUUUACACAUACAAAUUCAAAUCUUUUCUCAAUAAUAUUCAAACCCAGUUAGUUACAAAGCACCAAAAUUGAGAUUGUGCUGUUUUGAAAAUUGGAAAUAAUUUUUCUUGUACGCAUGAACCCUUUUUUAUAUGAAAUUUUCCGAUAGUGGUGAAAAUUUUGAAACAGAUCCUUUCCCCUUUUCAUAAGGGAAAACAAAAACCAAAAAUCUCAGGAGGAGAGAAGGGGAGGGAACGAUUGCAAGAGAGAUGGAGAGAGGAAGGAGAUGUGGAGAAGAGAGAUGGUAGGCGAACAAGACGAAAGGUUUUACGUUUUUCAUUUAAUCACUUCGUAGAAUUAUUGUGUUUCAUGUAACAAGAAUUAUUUAAGCUUAUAACUUAACCUACCAUAAGAUUUAUCUGACGCUCAUAUGAAAAAGGACCUCAUAUAUCCUCAAAAUAAACACUUUAGGAGAGUAGUUUUGUCCAAUAAAAUACCACAAUUAUUUCAACAAGUGGCACGGUGUUAGGCAACACCGGUGAAACUUAGUUUCUUCCAAACUUUUUGCAAAUAUAAUAGUUAGGGCUUUGUAUUGAAAAAAAAUAAAAAUAAAGAACAAAUAAAAUAUUGUUAAGGGUUCAGUGGUGUGGUUUAUUAUUUUGUUAUCGAUUAAAAAAAAGAAAAAGAAGCAAGUAUGUGACAACCCGUCCUUAAUUUUACGAUUUUAUUAAUUUUGAAUGAGGGAAUUGACAAAAACGUCCGUAGAGAUGAGAUUAUUGGCUUUUGUUGACCGUCAUUUUGUGAAGUGUAUGGGUUAAUAUUUUAUCAUAUCUCAAAAUAUGCAAUGGUACAAACGCAUAGGCAUAAACGGAAUUAAAAUCGGAGUUACAAUGAAGAUUUUACAGAGCUACGAAUCCAAGGAAUACUUUUGUGAAAAAGUACUAUUUUAUAUUUUACAUAUUUUUCGAAAUGAUUAUAUUAUUAUUUUAAUAUUUUCUGU